AUUGUUCUUGACUUCUUCGGGCUCUAGCCAGACUCUCCAAAGACAGGGUUGCAUUCCCUUUCCAGUAUGGUCCAUGGAAAACAUGCAGAGGAAAUGGCCCCACAGCAUUGGCUGAGUGUUUAUGUCUUCCAACCGAGUCUCCAUUGAACUGUUGUGGUGUUGCUGACUUGCCCUAGGUCACCUGAGUUAAAUGGGUUGCAUUCCCUUUCCAGUAUGGUCCAUGGAAAACAUGCAGAGGAAAUGGCCCCACAGCAUUGGCUGAGUGUUUAUAUCUUCCAACCGAGUCUCCAUCGAACUGUUGUGGUGUUGCUGACUUGGCCUAGGUCACCUGAGUUAAAAGGGUUGCAUUCCCUUUCCAGUAUGGUCCAUGGAAAACAUGCAGAGGAAAUGGCCCCACAGCAUUGGCUGAGUGUUUAUGUCAUCCAACCGAGUCUCCAUCGAACUGUUGUGGUGUUGCUGACUUGCCCUAGGUCACUUGAGUUAAAUGAGAUGCAUUCCUUUUCCUUCAUGGGCCAUGAGUGACAUCCAGAGAAAGUGUCACCACAACACUGGACAAAAGUUGAUGAUAUCUGAAUGAGCUACCAGUAAACCCCCCCCUUUUUUUGCUGUUAUUGCCUUGCCUGAGGAAAAGCGAGUUAAAAGAUGAUACCUACAGUGAUGAGUUGGAGUUAUAGAUGGUGCCAUUUCUUCUACCAGCAGCUUCACCAAAACAAUCUCCAUUAUACAUGCUGAUGCCUCUUUCCUGUGUAGCAGCAGACACCACCUGCAGAUAAGAAAUGCUUAAGCAUAAGAAAUUCAUCAUACUCAUACCAAUCUACACAAGAGUGAGAUCAUGG
rnacentral:lncRNA from 1 species